rnacentral:rRNA from 1 species
CCGAUGAAGGACGUUACUAACGACGAUAUGCUUUGGGGAGCUGUAAGUAAGCUUUGAUCCAGAGAUUUCCGAAUGGGGAAACCCAGCAUGAGUUAUGUCAUGUUAUCGAUAUGUGAAUACAUAGCAUAUCAGAAGGCACACCCGGAGAACUGAAACAUCUUAGUACCCGGAGGAAGAGAAAGAAAAUUCGAUUCCCUUAGUAGCGGCGAGCGAAACGGGAAGAGCCCAAACCAACAAGCUUGCUUGUUGGGGUUGUAGGACACUCUAUACGGAGUUACAAAGGACGACAUUAGACGAAUCAUCUGGAAAGAUGAAUCAAAGAAGGUAAUAAUCCUGUAGUCGAAAAUGUUGUCUCUCUUGAGUGGAUCCUGAGUACGACGGAGCACGUGAAAUUCCGUCGGAAUCUGGGAGGACCAUCUCCUAAGGCUAAAUACUCUCUAGUGACCGAUAGUGAACCAGUACCGUGAGGGAAAGGUGAAAAGCACCCCGGAAGGGGAGUGAAAUAGAACCUGAAACCGUGUGCUUACAAGUAGUCAGAGCCCGUUAAUGGGUGAUGGCGUGCCUUUUGUAGAAUGAACCGGCGAGUUACGAUUUGAUGCAAGGUUAAGCAGUAAAUGUGGAGCCGUAGCGAAAGCGAGUCUGAAUAGGGCGUUUAGUAUUUGGUCGUAGACCCGAAACCAGGUGAUCUACCCUUGGUCAGGUUGAAGUUCAGGUAACACUGAAUGGAGGACCGAACCGACUUACGUUGAAAAGUGAGCGGAUGAACUGAGGGUAGCGGAGAAAUUCCAAUCGAACCUGGAGAUAGCUGGUUCUCUCCGAAAUAGCUUUAGGGCUAGCCUCAAGUGAUGAUUAUUGGAGGUAGAGCACUGUUUGGACGAGGGGCCCCUCUCGGGUUACCGAAUUCAGACAAACUCCGAAUGCCAAUUAAUUU